rnacentral:lncRNA from 1 species
AAAAAUCAAAGGAUGUUUAUAAUGAGAAAAUUACAUGUCGAAUGGGAAGGCAGUAAUUCUUGACAAUAUUAUAAGAAAAUUCUUUAAAUAGCACCAAUUUUUCUUGUUAACAGCAUUGGAAAUGAGAGAGCAGCAGUAUUUUGGGCCACGGCUCUGUUUUGUAUUUUUUGUAUGCUUGUAGCGCACACUCAGCUAUGGCUAUGUUACAUUAUGUGAUACAACUUGAGUUCAACUAUUUCCUAAACUUUUAGAACUGAAGACAUUUGGAGACUGGUUGCAGAUGACUUACUUUUGUAGUUAUUGUGUUUCCCUCCAUUUGUUUUGUGUUUGUAAGUAGCAGUUUUACCAUUUACCGAUGCAUAUGGUUUAAGCAGAUAAUAGAAGGAGCCAAACUGAAAGCAGAUGAGCAGCAUCACCACCCCUGUGGAAUAUAAGCACCAGUUUCCAUCCCCAGAAAAAGUUAACUAAAAAUUAAUCCACAAAAAGAUUAAAA